rnacentral:rRNA from 1 species
GAUGAACGCUAGCGAUAGGCUUAACACAUGCAAGUCGAGGGGCAUCAGGGUCUUCGGACCGCUGGCGACCGGCGCACGGGUGAGUAACGCGUAUGCAACCUACCCAUACCUUUGGGAUAGCCCGUUGAAAGACGGAUUAAUACCGAAUAACACAGGGGCACCUCAUGGUGAUAUUUGUUAAAGAUGUAUUGGUUAUGGAUGGGCAUGCGUUGGAUUAGCUAGUUGGUUGGGGUAACGGCUCACCAAGGCAACGAUCCAUAGGGGAACUGAGAGGUUUCUCCCCCACACUGGUACUGAGACACGUACCAGUCUGCUACGGGAGGCAGCAGUGAGGAAUAUAGGUCAAUGGGCGAGAGCCUGAACCGGCCAAAUCGGGUGAAGGAUAACUGUAUUAUGUAUUGUAAACUUCUUUUAUGAGGGAAUAAAAAAGGGGACGCGUCCCUUAUUGCAUGUACCACAUGAAUAAGCAUCGGCUAACUCCGUGCCAGCCGCCGCCGUAA